UAGGAAACCAUAACUACACAAUUCUUGAAAUGAGAAAGAAAAACAAAAUCAAAUUAUUGGGUGUCAACUCAAUAAGCAAGAACAACUCAUGAAAUAUUCUAUAUAGCUGAAUGUUUGCAUGCUCUCUUGAGUCUAAAACUAAAACAAAAUCAUGUGGGCAUAUUAAUUUCGGAGUACGUCUUUUGAACACAUUUACAUAUGGAGUUGUACAUGCACCUUGGUUUCAUACGAGGUAAGCACAAAUUUGUUGGACAACAAGCAUCUCUAUAACAUCUUAUAAAUGUUGCUGUAAUGAAAAAAGAGAUUUUUUUUAACUAAUAUGGAAAAAAAAAUGUGUAAAGUAAGAAAGAAAAUUUGAAAAGGAUAAAAAAAAUAUUUACCUUCGAUGUUCGUUGCAACAAAAAAUAGGAAAAAAAAUAUCAUUAUAACACAAAUAAAGUUGACAAUUUCAGCCAUAAUUCCCCUUUUACUUGUAACAAAUAUUUUAUCACUUUGUAAUUUAUAAAUCUCAUCUUUUCCAUAUAUUAAUUAAAUAAUUUUUACCUCUUAUGUAGUCGUAAAAGACACUUUCUAAAAUAAGAACGAUUGUUGAGUGUACGUCUAUUAAGAACAUCAAUAUGUUGUGUUUAUUCGUUUUAAAAAAAUUGGUAAAGAGGUAACAUAAAAUACUUACUAAUCAUAAGAUUUGUUUUUUAAUUAAUUUUCCAUUAUUAUACCCUUUUCAUGAUAAAUAUUAUCAAUGUGUUAUGAUACUCUUCAUGUGGUUAAAGCUUUUAGUGACUCAUCCUUGAUUCAUCGUUUAGAGUCUCUCAAAUUUUAUAAGGAAGAUAAUACAUGCGUAGAUAAACUAAGCUAAUUAUGAAUUUCAAAUUAACUUUGUUUUAUCGGAUUUUUUAGGGAUUUAGAUGAUGGCUUUUUUUUUUUACUUUGAUCUUGUUACUAGUUAUUGUGUUAUAAAAGUAGGAUUU
rnacentral:lncRNA from 1 species